rnacentral:rRNA from 1 species
CCUACGGGAGGCAGCAGUGAGGAAUAUUGGACAAUGGGCGCAAGCCUGAUCCAGCCAUGCCGCGUGCAGGAAGACGGUCCUAUGGAUUGUAAACUGCUUUUAUACAGGAAGAAACACCUCUACGUGUAGAGACUUGACGGUACUGUAUGAAUAAGCAUCGGCUAACUCCGUGCCAGCAGCCGCGGUAAUACGGAGGAUGCAAGCGUUAUCCGGAAUCAUUGGGUUUAAAGGGUCCGUAGGCGGUUUAAUAAGUCAGUGGUGAAAGCCCAUCGCUCAACGAUGGAACGGCCAUUGAUACUGUUAAACUUGAAUUAUUAGGAAGUAACUAGAAUAUGUAGUGUAGCGGUGAAAUGCUUAGAGAUUACAUGGAAUACCAAUUGCGAAGGCAGGUUACUACUAAUAUAUUGACGCUGAUGGACGAAAGCGUGGGGAGCGAACAGGAUUAGAUACCCUGGUAGUCCACGCCGUAAACGAUGGAUACUAGCUGUUCGGUAGACAUACUGUAGUGGCGUAGACGAAGUAGUAGUAAGUAAUACCUACCGUACGGGUAGGUACGGUUACGUCGAGAAGAGAAACGUACGAAAGAAAGUUAGUACGGACGUGAGACGUACGACGACGGACGACGACGAGGGGAGGAGG